rnacentral:lncRNA from 1 species
CCGGGGUACCUGAGAUCACUCCAUUUAUUGUUUCUUGCUUGCUUGUAUGAUUUUAUUGCUUUGUUUUUUUUUUAGGGAAAGGGUUUUUGUUGCUCAGUUUUUAGUUUAUAUGUUGUGUGUUGUAUUCUGCUGUUGCUUGUAUUUCGGUUGUUUUUCGUCUUUUGCCAUGGCUUUGUCAAUUUGGUUUUUACUUAAGUAUAUGAAUAUGUUUGGUUUCUUUCGGCUCUUUUUUGUCUUGCAGAUUUAAAGGUAACUAGUCAGUGCCAAAUGCAAAAUAAUAUUUAACUUAAUAUUUGAUAGGCUUUUUUUAAAUAUAGUACACAUCUUUGAUGGUGGAUACAAUCAUCGAUUUCAUCAUAGUUAGGUUACUGGUAAUCGUGAUAACAUCGGAUUAACCUCUAGUCGAUCUGUUUCCCUCGGUUUCAGUUUGUAACUCAGAUUUGUUUUCUCUCAAUAGAUUUAUGACUUUUGAACAUCGGUAUACUACUGUUGCCUUCAUUAGAUAAUAUCUUAUUGAGAUUUUGUCGUUGGCCUACUUGAAC